GACGAACGCUGGCGGCGUGCUUAACACAUGCAAGUCGAGCGGAAGGGCCGUGCUUUUGUGUGGUUCUAGAGGGGCGAACGGGUGAGUAACAUGUGAGUAACCUUCCCUGUGCGUGGGGAUAACUGCAGGAAACUGGGGCUAAUACCGGAGAGGUGCGCCUGCUGCAGGGGGGGGGUUGGACAGCUUGGGCGGAUGGGGAUGGACUCGGGGCUUGUCAGCUUGUGGGGGGGGUAGUGGCUUACGAAGGCUUUGGCGGGUAGCCGGCAUGGGAGGGUGACCGGCCACAUGGCGCCUGCGGUACGCACCAGACGGCUACGUGAGGCAGUAGUGGGGAAUAUUGCACAAUCGGCGGACGUCUGAUGCAGAAACCCUCCGUGCGGGAUGCCGGCCUUCGUGUUGUAAAGCGCUUUAGCCUGUGACGAAGCGUGAGUGACGGUAAUGGGUGAAGAAGCACCGGCUAACUACGUG
rnacentral:rRNA from 1 species